GUGCCCCCUUCUCGCUCUUUCCUGCUUUAAACAUUAGAAGCCAAUUGCCAAAGGUCUUUUUCAGAAGUACUCCGAUCUUUUUUAAAGGGAUCUGACCUCGUCCCUGCGGAUCUGAUGGGAGAAGAUUGGACAACAUGUAUGAGUAACCAUGGACAAAGGGGAACUGAGGUCUCCCCAGCCAG